rnacentral:tRNA from 672 species
GCACCCGUAGCUCAGCUGGAUAGAGCGCUGCCCUCCGAAGGCAGAGGUCACAGGUUCGAAUCCUGUCGGGUGCGCCA